AUAGAAUUAAGUUAGCAUAAGCAGAGUUGUUUGUUUUGCAGCACUGAGCAGUUAUUUUACAUAACUUUAUCAUAAAAAACAGUAUAAAAGCAUUUCCAGAUGACAAAUAUCUGGACAUGCCUAGUAGUUAAUGUUAGUUAUGUUAAUUACAGAAUGUUAAGUGAACAACAUUCCAAUCAACGAUUAAGGCUGCAAAAUCAGCCACCAGCACUUACAAUAGAGCACAUGUUAAUCUGUGAACAUGUUAAUCACAUGUUAAUCCUAUUUCUGUAAAAUAUUUGUGAAAAUUAAAUGUAAUGUAAAUCUCCCAAGAAAUUCUGUACAGAUACCAGAUACUUUGACAAUCAAUAUAUACUUAAUGCACUUCUGCUAAUGCAAGGAUUUUGUUUUUAUUUUUUCCACACCAAGCCACGCCCCAUACGCCCCUCCCCAUAACCAAAGCCCCGCCCCCAAUUAUAAUUCUAAGCUGAACUCAAAAGUUGGCAGCCCUGAUAGAAGGGCGCAGAAGAGUAUGUUUUUUGCCUUUUUUGACCAGAGUAUUAUUACGAAGGUCUGUCUCAGACUGUUCAUGGGCUUCCGGAUCUUGCCUUGACCGUCACAGUUCCUCUUAACAGCUAUGUAGAGCAAAAAUGCCAAUGUGUUUGAUUGACUUUCUCUGUAAGUUAACAAUUGAAAGUUAAUAUAAACCUGUGAUGUACCAUGCAGCUGCCAGCUAGACCUAUUAUCAGGGCUGCAGUUAUAGAAACUUACACAACACCUUUGAAAUCGUACUACAGCAGGAUUGUGGUGUAUAACUAAAACAAACAAGAAAAUGAUAAAUUACAAGGUUAACUGAAUUCCAAAACAGAAAACAGACUUUAUUUUUCAGACUUUAUCCCAUUCAACUUUAUUACAUCUUUACUGACAUUCAACUGUUGAUGUUUUUGUAUAAUAAUGUAAAACAUAAGACCAAAAAUAGUUAUUUAGUAAAGGCUAAAAGUGCAAGUACAAAUAGAUGUUCAGUAUAACAGGCAGUAUUAGUGUCUAGAGUGACUGAAUAGACUGUUAAUCCUCCUUUAGUCAGCACUGUUCCCUUUCUCUCAGAUUCUGGUUAAGCUGAUUUGCUAAUGAGACUUCACAGCUGUGCAACUCAUUUGCUGACAUGUUCACUUAGUUCCAGGCUCAUCCCUUAAAAAUAGCUUUCUUGCAGGAAAAUCAGCAAUGGUAAAUGGUUAUUUUGCAGUUCUAUAUUUAUAAGACAAGUAAAAAAAAAAAAAAAAAAAAAAAAAACAGAGUCACCAGAGAUGUAACAGGAAAAACCAAGUAACCAAGAGUGGUUAUUUCAGUCUUUACACCUUUGGUGAGAUAAAAACAUCUAAAAAUGCUGAAAACAUUAAACAUUGAGGUGGAUGGUCUACUACUGCAGAAGACCACAUUGGGUUCGUCUCCUGACUGCCAAAUUUAUUUUUAAGUUUAUAAGUUUAUUUUUUACUAGUAUGCAACUGUCCAAUUUAUGUUAUGAGCUCAUGAUGGGCUCUGCUUCCUGUUCUUGGCUGACAGGAAUGAAACACAAUCUAAUCUUCAGCUGUAAUAGACCGUCACUUGAAGGUGUUUGAUAUUUUGUGUGUUCUGAAAUCCUUUUCUGCACACCAUAGUAUUUAAGAAAAGUAUUUAAGUUACUAUAUCUUUCUUGUUGGCACAAAUCUGACCUCUUUCCUCUGAACUCUCUCUUCAACAAGGCUUUUCCACCAACAGAACACCCAAUGUCAAUCACUAUAUAUUUUUAAAUUAUAGAUACUGCUGUUCUUGAAAAUCCCAGGAGAUCAGCAGUUUCUGAUAUACUCAUACCAGCCUGUCUAGCAUCACCAAUCAUGUUAUGGUCAAAAUCAAUGAGAUCACAUUCUGAUUGUUGAAGGGAACACUGAACAUGCUGGUCCUUGUCUGAAUGAAUGUAUGCACUGCAUUGCUGCCACAUCAUUUAUUAGAUAAGUUUUGUUUUGUAUAUGAGCAGGUCUAUCCGAGACUUUUCUAUUUCAGGAUCUUGCCUUGACCUUCACAGUUCCUUUUAACUGCCCUGUAUGAUUUAGGACAGUGGUAAUUGCAAACCAGUGUCAUCUAGCUUCAUUUUCAGGUCCUCAGUCAGCAUUGUUGCUUAUCACAUGAUUUGAAGAGUCAGAUAAUGUACAGUACCUACAAUUCCUAAUGACAAUUUUUGCCCUGCCUGAUGUCUCCUAAUGAUUUUUUUUGGCCUAACAUGUUAAGUUCUAAGACUUUAGAUUUGAUUAGAUUAGAUUCAACUUCAUUGUCAUUACACAUGUACAAGUACAAGGCAACAAAAUGCAGUUUAGGUCUAACCAGAGCAGCUCCAAUACCAGACUGUGACACAGCUGGUCAGGAUGCUUUCUAUGCGCAGCGGUAGAAGUUCUCCAGGAUAUCCGAGGAAAGCUGAUUUUUCCUUAGUGUCCUCAAGAAAAAGGAGAUGCUGGUGAGCCUUCCUGACCAGGCUGGAGGUGUUGGUAGUCCAAGACAGGUCCGCUGAGAUGUGAAUCCCCAGGAAUCUGAAACUGGAGAUGCGCUCAACAGCCAUCCCAUUGAUGUAGGUGAUGUCAUAUGUGUUUCUUGUCUCUUUCCUGAAGUCCACCAUGAGCUCAUUUGUCUUGGAGGUGUUAAGGAGCAAAUUACUGUCAUUUCACCAUGUGGCUAGGCGCUGGAUCUCCUCCCUGUAGGCAGUCUCAUCAUUGUUGAUGAUGAGGCCGAUCACGGUAGUGUCAUCUGAAAACUUGAUGAUGGAGUUAGAUCCAUUCACAGGCCUGCAGACGAGGGAGUAGAGGAAGUGGUUCAGCACACAGCCCUGUGGUAUACCAGUGUUGAGUGUGAUGGUAUUGGAGCAGAUGGAGCCUGAUUGAACCUGCUGGGAUCUGUUGGUUAGAAAGUCCAUAAUCCAGUUGCAAGUGGAGGUGUUAAUGCCCAGAUCUACUAAUUUGGCUAUUAACUUGGAUGGAAUGAUGGUGCUAAAUGCUGAGCUGAAGUCAACAAACAGCAUACGUGCAUAAGUAUUCUUAUUGUCCAAGUGUGUGAGUGUGUGCAAUGCCAUGGAAACUGCAUCUUCUGUGCUCCUAUUGCUGGUGAGAGUCCAAUAUGGAUGGCAGAGAGUCCUUCAGGUGUGCCGGGACCAUCCAACUGAACCAACCAGAGCCAACUUUAUAUGAAAGUUAUUAAGACACAAAUGCAGCUUGGAAUGUUGAAGAGAAGCCACAAAGUCUGUCCUGAAGACUGUCCUGUGGUGGAAACUUCAACAAAGUACUGACACCUGACACUUCUUCCAUAAAGUAAAACGUUUAAGAUGACCAGCACCAAUAGAGAUGGCACCAAAAUCCCAAUGAUGAGGCCCAGAUGAGACGGUUUAUGGCUGCACACUGCAUCACUCGACUGUUUUCUCUGUGUGAUUGUUAUCUGCCCCAAAGACUCACAUCUGUAAAGGAGAGUAAUAU